GGACCAUAUCACAUUGAAGCUACUAAUUCCCAUAUGAUCACUGAAGUUAAGCAACAUUGAACCUGGUCAGUACCUAGAUGGGUGACUGCUUGGAUAUACCAGCUGCUGUAAG